rnacentral:rRNA from 1 species
AACGAACGCUGGCGGCAUGCCUAACACAUGCAAGUCGAACGAACCCUUCGGGGUGAGUGGCGCACGGGUGCGUAACACGUGGGAACCUGCCCUUAGGUUCGGAAUAACACAGAGAAAUUUGUGCUAAUACCGGAUAAUGUCUUCGGACCAAAGAUUUAUCGCCUUUGGAUGGGCCCGCGUAGGAUUAGCUAGUUGGUGAGGUGAAGGCUCACCAAGGCGACGAUCCUUAGCUGGUCUUAGAGGAUGAUCAGCCACACUGGGACUGAGACACGGCCCAGACUCCUGCGGGAGGCAGCAGUGGGGAAUAUUGGACAAUGGGCGAAAGCCUGAUCCAGCAAUGCCGCGUGAGUGAUGAAGGCCUUAGGGUUGUAAAGCUCUUUUACCUGGGAUGAUAAUGACAGUACCAGGAGAAUAAGCCCCGGCUAACUCCGUGCCAGCAGCCGCCGUAACAC